AUAGAUACCCCGGUAGUCCACGCCGUAAACGAUGUCGAUUUGGAGGUUGUUCCCUUGAGGAGUGGCUUCCGGAGCUAACGCGUUAAGUCGACCGCCUGGGGAGUACGGCCGCAAGGUUAAAACUCAAAUGAAUUGACGGGGGCCCGCACAAGCGGUGGAGCAUGUGGUUUAAUUCGAUGCAACGCGAAGAACCUUACCUACUCUUGACAUCCAGAGAACUUAGCAGAGAUGCUUUGGUGCCUUCGGGAACUCUGAGACAGGUGUUGCAUGGCUGUCGUCAGCUCGUGUUGUGAAAUGUUGGGUUAAGUCCCGCAACGAGCGCAACCCUUAUCCUUUGUUGCCAGCGGUUCGGCCGGGAACUCAAAGGAGACUGCCAGUGAUAAACUGGAGGAAGGUGGGGAUGACGUCAAGUCAUCAUGGCCCUUACGAGUAGGGCUACACACGUGCUACAAUGGCGUAUACAAAGAGAAGCGACCUCGCGAGAGCAAGCGGACCUCAUAAAGUACGUCGUAGUCCGGAUUGGAGUCUGCAACUCGACU
rnacentral:rRNA from 1 species